CCAAUAGCGUAUAUUAGAGUUGUUGCAGUUAAAAAGCUCGUAGUUGAAUUUCGGGGUUCUACCGUUGGUCGGGCAAUUGUCUGUACUGGCGUGUGGAAUUUCUACCUUCUGGGGAACCAUCAUGUUAUUAAUUUAGCGUGGUGGGAAACCAGGACCUUUACCUUGAAAAAAUUAGAGUGUUCAAAGCAGGCUUACGUCUGAAUACAUUAGCAUGGAAUAAUAAAAUAGGACGGUGGUCCUGUUUUGUUGGUUUCUGAAUCACCGUAAUGAUUAAUAGGGAUAGUUUGGGGCAUUAGUAUUCAAUUGUCGGAGGUUAAAUUCUUGGGUUUAUUGAAGACUAACUUCUGCGAAAGCAUUUGCCAAGGAUGUUUUCAUUAAUCAAGAACGAAAGUUAGGGGAUCGAAGACGAUCAGAUACCGUCGCAGUCUUAACCAUAAACUAUGCCGACUAGGGAUCGGACGAUGUUAAUUUUUCUUGACUCGUUCGGCGCCUUACG
rnacentral:rRNA from 1 species